GAUGAACGCUGGCGGCGUGCUUAAUACAUGCAAGUCGAACGGAGUAUGUAGCGAUAUAUACUUAGUGGCGAACGGGUGAGUAACGCGUUGGUGACCUGCCCCAAAGCGGGGGAUAACAGUUCGAAAGGACUGCUAAUACCCCAUGAGGUCGUAGAGGUUAGAGGAUCUACGACGAAAGGAGCAAUCCACUUUGGGAGGGGCCUGCGUCCCAUCAGCUAGUUGGUAAGGUAAAAGCUUACCAAGGCGAAGACGGGUAGGGGGCCUGAGAGGGUGACCCCCCACACUGGCACUGAAACACGGGCCAGACACCUACGGGUGGCAG
rnacentral:rRNA from 1 species